rnacentral:rRNA from 1 species
AUACGUAGGUGACAAGCGUUAUCCGGAUUUACUGGGCGUAAAGGGCGUGUAGGCGGUCUUGCAAGUCAGAAGUGAAAUUCCUGAGCUCAACUCGGGCGCUGCUUCUGAAACUGCAGGACUUGAGUGCUGGAGGGGAUAGCGGAAUUCCUAGUGGAGCGGUAAAAUGCGUAGAUAUUAGGAGGAACACCGGUGGCGAAGGCGUCUUUCGGGACAUUAACUGACGCUGAGGCGCGAAAGCGGGGGGAGCAAACAGGAUUAUAUACCCGGGUAGUCCACGCCAUAAACGAUGAAUACUAGGUGUAGGGGGUAUCGACCCCCUCUGUGCCGACGUUAACACAUUAAGUAUUCCACCUGGGGAGUACGGCCGCAAGGCUGAAACUCAAAGGAAUUGACGGGG